rnacentral:rRNA from 1 species
AGAGUUUGAUCCUGGCUCAGGNUAAAGAACGCUAGCUACAGGCUUAACACAUGCAAGUCGAGGGGCAGCAUGGUCUUAGCUUGCUAAGGCCGAUGGCGACCGGCGCACGGGUGAGUAACGCGUAUCCAACCUGCCUUACACUCUUGGACAGCCUUCUGAAAGGGAGAUUAAUACAAGAUGUUAUCAUGAGUAAGCAUUUUCGCAUGAUUAAAGGUUUACCGGUGUAAGAUGGGGAUGCGUUCCAUUAGAUAGUAGGCGGGGUAACGGCCCACCUAGUCUUCGAUGGAUAGGGGUUCUGAGAGGAAGGUCCCCCACAUUGGAACUGAGACACGGUCCAAACUCCUACGGGAGGCAGCA